rnacentral:lncRNA from 1 species
CUUAAACAAUGUCUACACUGUAUUUCUGAUCAAUUUGAUGUUAUUUUAAUGGACAAAAUGUUUUUCCUUUUCUUUCAAAAACAAGGACAUUUCUAAGUGUCCCCAAACUGUUGAACAGUAGUGUAACUAAACCAAAAUGGAACAUGCAGAAAAUACAUUUCUGAAGCAACAAAAUGAUACCUUGUUCACCCCCCCUCAAUAACCCAUAACGAAAAAGCCAAAACUGGUUUAGACAUUAAUUUAUUCAAAAUAAAAAACAGAAAUAACACAAUUACAUUAAGUAUUCAGACCCUUUUCUCAGUACUUUAUUGAAGCACCUUUGGCAGUGAUUACAGCCUCGAGUCUUCUUGGGUAUGACGCUACAAGCUUGGCACAUCUGUAUUUGGGGAGUUUCUCCCAUUCUUCGCUGCAGGUCCUUUCAAGCUCUGUCAGGUUGGAUGGGGAGUGUCGCUGCACAGCUAUUUUCAGGUCUCUCCAGAGAUGUUAGAUCGGAUUCAAGUCCGGGCUCUGACUGGGCCACUCAAGGACAUUCAGAGACUUGUCCGAAGGCCACUCCUGUGUUGUCUUGGUUGUGUGCUUAGGGUCGUUGUCCUGUUGGAAGGUGAACCUUCACCCCAGUCUGCGGUUCUGAGCGCUCUGGAACAGCUAGUACAGCCCCUAGUACCUUAGGUAGUACAGUAUAGCCUCAGCUAGUCCAGCCCCUAGUCCAGCAGGUAGUACAGUAUAGCCUCAGCUAGUCCAGCAGGUAGUCCAGUAUAGCCUCAGCUAGUCCAGCUCCUAGUCCAGCAGGUAGUCCAGUAUAGCCUCAGCUAGUCCAGCUCCUAGUCCAGCAGGUAGUACAGUAUAGCCUCAGCUAGUCCAGCAGGUAGUACAGUAUAGCCUCAGCUAGUCCAGCUCCUAGUCCAGCAGGUAGUACAGUAUAGCCUCAGCUAGUCCAGCAGGUAGUCCAGUAUAGCCUCAGCUAGUCCAGCUCCUAGUCCAGCAGGUAGUACAGUAUAGCCUCAGCUAGUCCAGCAGGUAGUACUGUAUAGCCUCAGCUAGUCAGCCCCUAGUCCAGUAUAGCCUCAGCUAGUCAGCCCCUAGUCCAGCAGGUAGUUGGUUUUGAGAGAGAGCCUUGACAGAAUGAUAACCACGCCACAGAACUGUAUACAUUUAUCAAUGAUACAUGUUCCAACUCGGGUCCCUUGACACAGAGGCAAGUACGCUAACCCCAAGAUAGACAACUCUAGAGCUUCUCCCUAACCCUUAACCCUAACCGCUUAACCCUAACCCCAAGAUAGACAACUCUAGAGCUUCUCCCUAACCCUUAACCCUAACCCCAAGAUAGACAACUCUAGAGCUAACCCUAAACCUUAACCCUAACCCCAAGAUAGACAACUCUAGAGCUUCUCCCUAACCCUAACCCUUAACCCUAACCCUUAACCCUAACCCCAAGAUAGACAACUCUAGAGCUACUCCCUAACCCUUAACCCCUAACCCCUAACCCUUAACCCUAACCCCAAGAUAGACAACUCUAGAGCUAACCCUAACCCUUAACCCUAACCCCUAACCCUAACCCCUAACCCCAAGAUAGACAACUCUAGAGCUAACCCUAACCCUUAACCCCCCUAACCCCUAACCCUAACCCCUAACCCCAAGAUAGACAACUCUAGAGCUUCUGAAAGGUUGUUCUAGUGUGGAUAUGAAUGGAGGCUAUGGUCAUAACAGAGAACAGAAAAACAUGGAUGUCUGAGAGUAGUUGUUCUGCUGGUCAGGGAAGGCAAUAGAUUGUAUAGUUAUCUUCUGAUCAGGGUAAAAUCACUACCCCACAACAAUACAAUCUACUACCUCACAACGCCUCAGCAGAUAGACAAUGACUUCAUAAUGUUGACGAUGUACCUUGAUGAUUUCUUCCUGUUCGUUCUCAAAACACCACAGCAAAUACGAUCAGAAUAGAAUCUUUUACAAUGACCAUAAGAGGAGAUUGACUGUAGUAUCCUUGGUGAUUGACACAUUGAGAAAGACAGUAGGUUGUACAGUUAUCUCCCAGUGUGGGUGUGACCCUAAAACUAUCCAACCUACUACCUCAUCCCACUGAGCUGAGGAACCUGGAGAGGAACCUGGAGAGGAACCUGGAGAGGAACCUGGAGAGGAACCUGGUCUGAUCCACCUCACAGCAUC